UACGUAGGGUGCGAGCGUUUAAUCGGAAUUACUGGGCGUAAAGAGUGCGUAGGCGGUUCGUUAUGUCUGCUGUGAAAGCCCCGGGCUUAACCCGGGAAUGGCAGUGGAAACUGGCGGGCUUGAGUGUGGCAGAGGGGGGUGGAAUUCCGCGUGUAGCAGUGAAAUGCGUAGAUAUAGGAAGGAACACCAGUGGCGAAGGCGACCACCUGGACUGAUACUGACACUGAGGUGCGAAAGCGUGGGGAGCAAACAGG
rnacentral:rRNA from 1 species